ensembl:snoRNA
GGUACUUGACAAGUGCAAAAAUAAAUCCUCUUUUGCAAACCAGAAGUCAUUGUCAAGUAUGAGUUUUGAUACCUAUAAGAAGCAAUAGA